GACAGAGGGUGCAAACGUUGUUCGGAAUUACUGGGCGUAAAGGGCUCGUAGGCGGCCAACUAAGUCAUACGUGAAAUCCCUCAGCUUAACUGGGGAACUGCGUCUGAUACUGGAUGGCUUGGAUUCGGGAGAGGAAUGCGGAAUUCCAGGUGUAGCGGUGAAAUGCGUAGAUAUCUGGAGGAACACCGGUGGCGAAGGCGGCAUCCUGGACCGAUACUGACGCUGAGGAGCGAAAGCCAGGGGAGCAAACGGG
rnacentral:rRNA from 1 species